rnacentral:piRNA from 1 species
UGUAAACACAGGGACUAAGAGAUAAAUAAGC